rnacentral:lncRNA from 1 species
ACAAAGAAAUUAUGAAGGCAGCGUUUGGUUAGGGAAUAUGAAUAGGAAUAGGCCCUUAUCCCCUUUAUACCCAAACGCUAAUUUUUUUACUCGAGAAUAGUAGUUCUCGGUUAUCCCCACCAACACCUUCAUUUUCUAUAUAAAACUAUCUAAAACUGUUCUUAUCCCUGGGAACAACCUAAUUUUCAUCCAAACACUAUUUUUCUUAUCCCAUACUUGUACCUAUUCCUGUAAUAGCUAAUUCUUGCUUAUACCCGAAUCGAACGGUACUUGAGAGAUUUAUUAAUUUGAUGUCGCACCCAUCUUACUGAAGUCGACACAACGAUCGUUUAUACAAUUGUGAUCAAGAGUUUCGAU